UUAUCUCCUUUAAUUUGGGUUUGUUCACUUUAUAUAAUAGAGAUAAUUGCGCUUUAUU
rnacentral:sRNA from 1 species